UAGGGGAGAGCGGUCAGAAUGUGGUAAGAAUGGGAAGUAUGUCAUAAUAAAAAGCGUUGACAGAACUAGUAAGUGUUUAGUUUGUAAAAAGGAGGUGUGAAGGAAAUGUGGUUGCUCUUUUCAUAUACUUGAGGGUAUGUCAUGAAUAGAGGCAUUUGAUUUAUUCUGAGCUGCUCUUAGAGGUUGAUCCAGGACCAAUAGAUAUACAUAUCAAUUAUACAGAUUCAACGGAGGAAGGGCUUGCUGAACAGGAGAUGUUAAAAAAUACCAUGGGUGGCCUAGAGAGAAAAUAAGCAUCCCUCUUCAUAACUGCUUAAGCAGAGACUGCCUAACCACAGAUACUGAAAGACUGUCAAGUAUAAUGGACUCUGAGCAACGUGAUGGAGUGCACAGGACAUCCUCAUUCAGUGAUGUAUCCCCAGUAAAUGGUCCAAAGAAUCCAGCAGAGAACACAGUCUCAGUAGAGCCAUAAAGACAUGGACUGUCCUGGGAUGUUUGCUAAACUGUCUGGCUAAAUCAGAUUGAUGACUUAUGGAGGCAAAGUGAACCAACAUGGAAAAUAAUCUAUCUACUUUCCAGAACAUUCCUCCAAAUAAUCAAUAAAGGCUGAUACUUCACACAGAUAUAGUGGGAUGCCUAAACUGAGUAUUUUAGGACAGCCAAAUGUUGAAAGUGUUUUAUGUGCCUGUGGCAUAAUUUUAACCUUUCUUUGCCUCUGCUAACCUGCUAGACAGGUUUAAUACCUGGUUCGGUAUGUCUCUACAAGUCCCUGUGUGUCUGCCUGUGUGUUUUAAGUUUACCUGUUU